rnacentral:misc_RNA from 2 species
AACGCACAUUGCGCCCUUUGGUAUUCCGAAGGGCAUGCCUGUUCGAGCGUCAUUAUCACCCCUCAAGCCCCUGGCUUGGUGUUGGACGGUUUGGUGGAGGCCCCCUCGGGGGCUCCUGCCCCUCCCAAAGACAAUGACGGCGGCCUCGUUGGACCCCCGGUACACUGAGUUCUUCACGGGACACGUAUCGGAUACAUGGGUUUACGGGACACGGUCUGCCUCCCCUCAGGGAGAAUCUUUCUAAGGUUGACCUCGGAUCAGGUAGGGAUACCCGCUGAACUUAA